rnacentral:lncRNA from 1 species
CUCAGCCUCCUGAGUAGCUGGGACUACAGGUGUGCACCACCAUGCCCAGAUAAUUUUUGUGCAUUUAUUUAUUUAUUUAUUUAUUUAUUGAGAUGGAGUCUUGCUCUGUCACUCGCCCAGGCUGGAGUGUGAUGGCACGAUCUCAGCUCACUGCAACCUCCACCUCCUGGGUUCAAGCCAUUCUCCCACCUCAGCCUCCUGAGUAGCUGGGAUUACAGGCACCCACCACCAUGCCCAGCUAAUUUUUGUAUUUUUGUAGAAAUGGGGUUUCACCAUGUUGGCCAGGCUGGUCUUGAGCUCUUGACCUCAGGUGAUCCUAGUUCAAGUAGACUUGUUGUUACACAUGGCUAGAUUAAAGUUUUCUGUUUUAAUUUACUCUUUAAGCUUUACAUGGCCUAUGUGUAAAUCCAGGAAAGUAAUUCAUCUUAGAAUUAUUGUGAGAAAUAAAUGAGAUAAUGCUUGCAUGGGCUGGGCGUGGUGGCUCUCACCUGU